GCUUGACUGUAUCUUGGAAUUGGGUUUGGGCUUUUCUUGCGCAGCCUAGGUGGGAGGCUAUGAGGAUUUCCUUCCGGGGAAGUCGGAGCCGUCAUUGAGAGACCACUCUGGAAGAGCUAGAAUCCUAAUAGGGAUCCUUGAAUCAGGACCCUUGACAGUUUCAGGUGGGCAGUUUAUUUGGGGCGAAUGCCUCCUAAAAGGUAACGGAGGCGUGCAAAGGUUCCCUCAGUCUGGACGGAAAUCAGACAUUGAGUGCAAAGGCAAAAGGGAGCUUGACUGCAAGACCUACAAGUCGAGCAGGGACGAAAGUCGGCCUUAGUGAUCCGACGGUGCCGCGUGGAAGGGCCGUCGCUCAACGGAUAAAAGUUA
rnacentral:rRNA from 1 species